GAGGGGGGCACAAGGCGGGUCGGCCAAUAGGGGCGCGCAGGGGUCGAGGAGGGGGCCCUGGAGAACGGAAGGGCUGAGACGGGGAAGCAGAGAGGAAAGGGAUGCAAGAGGCGACGCGACCGUUGAUUGGGCUGUUUGAAUGAGACGCCACCACUGCCCAGUACGCGCGCGCGCCCUGACGCCCAGGAAAUCGCGCACGCGACUAACGGUCGGCUUGGGAGCCUGGGCGGGGCGAGAGGAGGCGGGACUUGGGGGGUUUAAACGGAUGAUGGAAGGCACUCCGGCCAAUAGGGACGCGCAAUCGUGGACCGGCGUCACGAGGCUCGCACGGGCCAAUCCUUGACGGAGAAGGGAUUGCCAAGGGGGUGGGAGCAGUGGAGAACGACCAAUGGGGGCUCGGCCUAGCGCGGGCCAAGCCGAUCGCAGCCAACGAAAUUCCUUGGUUUUUGUAUAUGCAAAUGAGGCGUACACCGCCUCUCGUGCCCUCUCCUCAGCAGGUGGUGGGGUUGGGCGCUGGGGAUCGAUCUAAAUUUUUCUACGAGGCGCCAUUUUGUGCUGAGAAUGACCUGUGACCUGUGUCCUGGGUUGCUGAGGUUCAAACACCAGUCAGCACGGCCUCGAAGGCUUGGACCUCUGUCCCCGGCCAGACGUCAGUCACGACGCCGGGCCUCAGUUUCCUCCUGUGGGAAAUGGGCGCGGGGAUCCCUCAUGAUGACCGAGAAGGAAGAAGGAAGAGUCCCCAGGCCCUCUUCGCGGCCGGGCCCGGCCCGUGAUUGACCCGCGGCCCCCAGCCGGCCAGGCCCUCACUGGCACUCAGUUUCCCUGUGUGGGAAAUGGACACACCGCGGCCUCAGGCCUCAGUUAGUGAAGUGGUCCCGCCUCUGCCUCCUCCCGGGGCGGCCCUGUGCUGGUACCCAGCGAGGAGGAGGAGCGGAAGCGGAAGUGGCCUCCCGGGCUCGUGUGCGGCCGUCUCAGGCCCUCGGCUCAGCUAGGCGCAGCCCGGCUUGGCCACAGCGUCCUGCAAAGGCGCGUGGCUGACAGCUUCCCCUCAUUGGGCCUCGGCUUCCGGGACAGGAGGCGGGGACGUGUGAGACCCCGCCGCUGCAGUCGUAUAAUAGAGAGCUCGCGUGGGGUCCGCCCUCACGCCGCACCCGGAACCUCAGCCUGCUGCGAGCGGACGCUUCCGGCCGGUGGAACAGACAGGGACCCUGAAGGACGGGCGUCCAGUGACUUGCCCAGGGCCCCCCACCCCGGCUGGGACCAGACAGAGGUGGUAGUCAAGCUCUGUCUCAAAAACCCGCCCAACAGCCACGACGAUGGUGAGAAUAACGGUGGUUAUUUAUUCCGUGCCUGCCGGGUGCCAGGCGCGGUUCCGGCUCCUUGCGGGCUUGAUCUCCGUCCUUGCGGCGUUCCUGGCAGGUGCAUGUUGUUAGGAUUCCCCUCCGGACACCUGCGUUCAUUCAAUGACAUUUUUGCUUUUUGAGCACCUACGAUGUGGCAGGCAGGAUGCUAUGGGGACAUGGCAGAGUAGAAGGGACAAAAUUCCUGCUCUCAUGGAGCUUACAGACCCCGGGGAGCCAAACAGUAAGGAAUGAAACCCACAUCGUCCCUUCAGCUUGAAUUCCAGCUUCCGAAAUUAAUCGCCAUUUCUCCUGUUCACCUGUAUUAAAUUACCAAAGAAACACGCUUGGAGGGAAAUUCACGCAGUUACAGACGUGCCAGAAGUAAAAGCGGGGGGUGUGGCUCUAGCCCUCCCUCUGUGCUGUGUUUGCACACCCUCAGGUAGCCACCCCCAGAGAGGUACUCAUCACAUCCCCGCACAGUCUGCUGUGGCUGUGUGUGUGGAUCGGCUGCUGUGCAGCGUUCCUCCAUAGGAGCACCCAGAGUUGCUGGCAUUCUCCGACAGAAGGGCCUUGACGGCGGGUCCAGCCUCUGGCUAGAAGCCACAGUGAGCAUCCUCGAGCAUUAUUCUUUGGGCACAGCUGUGAGCUGUUCUGAUGGAGAAAUUCCUUCUUUUAAUGACAGUAGACCUGACACCUCGGAUGCGCCCCAAGAUUGAACAGAAUAACGCCCACUGCUGGUGGAGAAAUUCCUGGAAGUGGGAUGGCGGGAUCAAAGGGUACGUGUGUUUGCAAUCCUGCCAAGUGGCCCUUGGCAGCUUCCACUUAUUUGGAUUCCCACCAUCAGGAUCUCACCCGUUCAUUCAACAAGUGUUUAUUUAGCACCAGCCAUUUGCCAGGCACUGUUCUAGGUGCAUUGAUGACCGACACGAAGCAAAGCGCUGCCUUCCUGGGGCUUCCAUUCUGGGGGGGAGACGGGUUUAAACCACAUACACUACAACCAGCGUGGCCGACUAUCCUGGUUUGCCUGGAUGCAGGACUUUCAGUGCUAAUACUGGGACAGCCCCGGGCUAAUAGGUAAGAGAAGUUGGUAGUGUCCAGACAUUACUUAACUAUAAUGAGAGCAGUUAAGGUUCCAGAAUGCCGGGGGUGGGGGGUGGGGUGUAAUUUUAGGUGAGUGGUCAAGGUAGACUGUCCUCGAGAAGGUGACAUUUGAAUCAAGAGAGCAAGUUUUGUGGAAAUCCGGAGGAGAAGACCAUUGCAGGCAGAGGCAGCCACGGACGUCGAUGUCCUGAUGCAGGAAUAAGCCUAAGUAUUAGCCAUCUUUAAAACUUGCGCCAGUCCUGGGCAGACAAAGGGGCCUGUCUUCAUUUUCGUUUCCUUUCUUCCCAGUGAGGCUGAGCUUCUCUUUGUGGGUAAACGCCUCCAUCUUAAUUUGAGUCCACCGUCUGUGGUCACUAGCAGGUCCUCUGUCCCUCAGCGGCCUUACUGUUUCUAAGCACGGCCUCUGCCUGUGCUGUGGUAAGUGAAGGACGAGAACUACCUGCCUUUGUGCCUGGAAACAGAAGUCAGAGCUUCCCCGGUGGGAGGGCCCUCACGGAUCAGUAAAUAUGCCCCGAAUGGGUCAGAUGCUCCCUCUAGCGACGGACACACUAGUAACGAAAUCCGUCGCCCAGCUCUUCCCCUGCUCCACAAACCCCAGAAAGCAGGGCAGACUUCAUGUUGUAUAAAAACACACUUUAGUGCUCUAGGGGCUUCUUUUAAUGACAGUAGACCUGACACCUCGGAUGCGCCCCAAGAUUGAACAGAAUAACGCCCACUGCUGGUGAGAGUGAGAGCACGUGGACGUUCUCACCUACGUGGACUUGGCAAGGCUUUCGGGAUUGCAACUUGGCAUUGUGUAACGAAAGUCUUCAAAACACACUUGCCUUCUGACCCAGACAUUCACCUCCUGGGGACUCAUGCUGGGAAAAGUAAGUGAAUGCACCACGCGGUGUGCAAAAGGGUGUUCCUCAAAGUCUUGUUCAUAGUAGCGUAUUGUUCAUGUGUAAUGGGAGAAACCCAUGUGUGUAUUGGUGGGGACUGGAAUAAAAACGGCGCUGCCUCCGUGCAUCUGUAGAGGAUAGAAUACUCUACCGCCAUCGAAAAUUAUGGUGAAUUUGUCGUCGUUGGAAUUGUUGGUGUCUCAAAGAAUCCGAUGAAGGUACUGGAUCCUCUUCCCUCCCCAAAGCAUGUGCAAAUGCUAACUAAUAAAUGCCAGAGGAAUGGUGAAGUUAGAAAAUGAUUGUUGGGCAAGCACCGUAAUAAUCACUGAUUCAGGCAAGAGACUCACCCAUGGAGCCUGGAAGCAGAAGGAGAAAGUUUGAGGAGGAACAAGUGUCAGCGCCUCUCCUGGUGAGACACUUCCUGUUUACACAGGGGGCCACAGCACCUUCCCGGUGCCCCGGCCAAGGGGUCAGAGCGAAUCUCCCCCAGCCUGGUGGUGUCAGUGGUCAAGAGGGCGUACCUCCUGAUGCUGACCCGCCCGUCGCUUCUGUGCUUCUGCCAAACACACAUAGCCCAGAUCUAAUCACGAGCACACGUGAACCCCAGGUGCAGGGACACGCUGCAAAAUAGCCUGCCGGACUCCAAAGUCAUCAGCGAAAAAGACUGAGGAACCACUCAAGUUGAAAGAGCCUCGACAGACACGAUCGCCAUGUCCAACACUUACUCCCAGGGUGGCAGUAUUUCCCUGCAGCUACCACAGUGUGAAAUUGCAGGGUAGAGGGACAGGAAAACUGCUCUCAAGGACAGAAUUGGGACAGCUGGUAAACUUGAACAUGAACUCGAUCAGUGUUAAGUUCUUGAUUUUGCUAAUUAUACUGUGGCUGUGUAAGAGCACGUCCUUGUUUUUCAGAAAUGUCCCUCAGGGGUAAGUGUAUGCAACUUACUCUUUAAAAAAUAUAUGUGUUUAUGUGGAAAGAAAGCCAUAAAGUAAUGUGAUGAAAUGUUAA